AUUGAACGCUGGCGGCAUGCCUUACACAUGCAAGUCGAACGGCAGCACGGGUGCUUGCACCUGGUGGCGAGUGGCGAACGGGUGAGUAAUAUAUCGGAACGUACCUUAUUGUGGGGGAUAACGCAGCGAAAGCUGUGCUAAUACCGCAUAAUCCCUUAGGGGGAAAGCGGGGGACCGUAAGGCCUCGCGCAGUUAGAGCGGCCGAUACCUGAUUAGCUAGUUGGUGAGGUAAAGGCUCACCAAGGCGACGAUCAGGAGCUGGUCUGAGAGGACGAUCGGCCACACUGGGACUGAGACACGGCCCAGACUCCCACGGGAGGCAGCAGUGGGGAAUUUUGGACAAUGGGGGCAACCCUGAUCCAGCAAUGCCGCGUGAGUGAAGAAGGCCUUCGGGUUGUAAAGCUCUUUUGUCAGGGAAGAAACAGCAGCUCUAACACAGUAUGCGAAUGACGGUACCUGAAGAAUAAGCACCGGCUAACUACGUGCCAGCAGCCGCAGUAA
rnacentral:rRNA from 1 species